rnacentral:rRNA from 1 species
AUGGCCGGGUGUGACCUGCUAUCAUUCCUCGACGCCUACUCAGGAUACCAUCAGAUCUUCAUGACAAGAGAAGAUGAGGAAAAGAUAGCAUUCAUCACCCCAUGUGGUACGUACUGCUUUUUACGGAUGCCUUUCGGGUUGAAGAGUGCUGGCUCGACCAUUGCAAGAGCAGUCCAAAUUGGUUUUGAGCCCCAGCUACAUAGAAAUAUGGAAGCUUAUAUGGAUGACAUAGUGGUCAAAACCAACAGUACAAAAAAAGACACAUCCGUGACAUUUUGGGACGAACGAAAAAAAAUUCUAUCAUACAUAUGA